rnacentral:tRNA from 1 species
GCAAAAAAGGUUAUCCAAGGGGGAUUUGAAAUCCCCCUUUAUUGUAAAAGUUACAAGUUUUGCU